CUCGUUGACAAUAGCGGAGGGGCCAUACCCGUUCCCAUCCCGAACACGGAAGUCAAGCCCUCCUGCGCCAAUGGUACUGCAGAAUAUGUCUGUGGGAGAGUAGGUCGUCGACGGGG
rnacentral:rRNA from 1 species